rnacentral:lncRNA from 1 species
ACUCAGCUCCCAGAAGUUCUCAGAGGGUGAGGGUCCCACAUCUCCUGCAGGACAGGCCCUAGCUACUGAGUCACAGAAACCCAGGGCCGAAGCAAAGUCCCAAUCCCAGAGAGGCUGGGGCACACCUACAACUGAAAGGAGGCUUAGAAAUCCUUCAGAGACCACCCUAUCGGUUCUCCUCCACCUGGACAGGAUGAGCCAGCAACACAGAAGGAAGAGGCCUUCCUCCGAAAGGUUUCUAAGACAGCCACCGAUGGGUCCUACCUCCUCGUAUUCACAUCCUAUGUAAUCUCCUCCCCAGUGUGGGCUGGACCUGGUGACUUGCUUCCAGUGAAUAGAAUAUAGCAAAAGUGAUUGAUGUCACCUCCAAGAUUCAGCUAUAGAAGACUAUGACUAUGACUUUCCUCUUGGCUAGCAUUCUCGCUAACCCUUCCUGCUUGCUUGUACUGAGCUGCCCUAUGAAGAGGCCCAUGUAGGGUGGCCUGGGUGGGGGUGAUCUGUGGCCAACAGCCAGCAAGGAACUAAAUCCUGUUUACAACCACAUGAGCUUGGAAGGAGAUCCUUCCCCAGUAAAGCCAGGAGAUGAAUACAGCCCCAGCCUCCAGCUUCAUUGCAGCAUCGUGAGACACCCACAAGCAGGACUCAGCUAAGCCACAGCCAGAAUUCUGUCCCACAGAACUUCAAGACAACUAGUGCUGUUGCUUUUCAGCUGCAGAGUUUUGACAUAAUUUGUUGUAUAGCAAUAGCCAGCUAGUUAUCAAUAACCACUAUUGCUCCUAUUGUUUCUCACCACAUAUCCAUAUAGUCAUGAGGAAACCUCUUUAAAUGAGACAAAGAAUCAGAACUAAUAAAAGAUAAGCAAAUUCCUUUAAAUAUACAUUUUAAUUUUACAUG